rnacentral:lncRNA from 1 species
AAUGUUGGCAAGAGGCGAUGAGAUAUUUGGUGCGCUUCCAAACAGGUUCUAGCGUUGAAACGACGGACGAUGACAAGAAGAGAAAGAGAAAGAGAAUCUCAAAUUCCAAGUACAGACCCCAGGCCUCUUCUGAUGAAGAGGAGUCUAGUCUUCCAGAUGCACCAGCAGUGCUGUCGUUUGGACAACCUCUUUUGAGCUUUGAAAACAUUGUUCCUGGUAACAAGGUUUCAGUGCUGCCCGAUGCUCCAGAAGUUGCAUCGAUUCCAGAAAACCAGGAAAAUGUUGUGCCAUCUGUAGACUUCAGAGGUGAACCAGGUUUCUCCCCAGAAAUUCAGACUCCACUUCACAGAGCCAAGAGUUUGAGUACAAGACACUUGACUGGUUACUCGCCGCAGCAGUUUCUGGAUGAAAGGUGUCGAGGUGUGUUGUACAUUCCAUUAGCAUUGCACAGUUCAAUUAUAGUUUCAUUACUGAAUAUGCAAUACUCUGCACUGAAGUUAAAGCUGUUAUGUUUGCUCUUCCAGCUCGUCAAGUACUAAGCUUUACACCCCCCAGCAGCAAAUUUACCCUGGCAGCAUAUGGGUGAAAACGCUGGAGGAGAAAGUCAUCGCUCUGUAAUUGGCCCUUGGACUCCCCUGGCAUCUCGUGUACAGCAUGAAGUUUUCAGCUAUGAAGAUUUCCAGAGAUUCCAGAAUGAAAAACAAGCCCUUAGGGAGGAGAACCAAGCCCUUAGGAAGGAGAACCAAGCCCUUAGGGAGGAGAACCAAGCUCUGAGGGAGGAGAACCAAGCUCUGAGGGAAAGCACUGCACGAGCAGCUUCGGAUGACAGCGGCUCACUUCAAGAGCAGGUGAAGCAAGUUGGGACAAUGUUGAAGACGUUUGCUCGCACUGGGCAAUCAGGUGCAGAUCAGACCUUAAUGCUGCGACGUCUUGGAGAGUUUGGCGAUGUUGUGCCUAGCAUGGACAACAAAAUGGACACUAUGCUGCAACAUUUCAGUGCCAAUGUGUCUGUUGGAGAGUUAUCCCUGCCAGGGGAUCUGUUACUCCCCCUAGACACCCAGGAAGAUUUGGCGUUGCUUGACAACAGUUUGAGGCAGGAUAAAGAGCUCCAGGAACGAUUUCUUCGGUUUUUGGCAAUCAAAUGUGGGAGGGACCUAAAGACAACCGUCUGGCGGAUGCUUCAAAGUAUCUUCUCUAAUCACCUUUCCAUCAAUACAACCUGGACUGGAGUUGGGGAUAAAGCAUGUUUUAGAGACAUGUUCCUGAAGACCAUUGUUCAAAGUAAGUUGGAUGUAAAAAAAAAAAAAAAAAAAAUGUUUAGUAGAUGUGUAUGGCAUUAUGCCAUUCAAAUGGAAUGA